rnacentral:rRNA from 1 species
CUCAGUGUCUUGAGCGAAGAGGAAACACCUGUUCCCAUCCCGAACACAGAAGUUAAGCUCUUCAGCGCCGAUGGUAGUUGGGUGUACUUACCCUGCAAGAGUAGGCCGAUGCUGGGA